rnacentral:lncRNA from 1 species
AGUUUUGGGUUCAGGAGCUGUGGAUUGUGUUGUGUAGCUAGUGUAGAGUUGGUUCGGGUUAUUAUUUUCUUCUCGAAGGACUUGGUUCAGUGUCGUGGCAGCUGGCUGACGCUUUUAGGUUUUGUUGUGUCAUGUAAUUGUAAUUGCGAAGAUGAUGUGAUAGAGUCGCUUUCAGUGGUGGUCUCUCGGGUGACCUGGAACGCCAAUUUUGUAAUGCAAUUAUCGUAAUAAUUAAACAGUGAUGUCAAUUGUAGUUAUCUAUGGCCUCAUUCUGCUUCUCUCCUGCGCCUGCUGAUGCUUUGCUUGCACGGUCACACGACUGGAUGAGAGAGAGGCUUGCUGCCUUGUACUAAGUCAGCCACUGCAGCUCAUUAUUCCUGGGAUUUCUGUACUUACCUUUGCCACCGAAGUCAAGAACUACAGUGACCUUGGCGCUAGGUUCUUCAGGCCCGCCGCCGCCCAGGAACCCGUUGGCGUCGACGCCUACUCCAUGGGAUCGUAAGCCACCGCUCAGCUUCUCGCUGCCGCCGCCGCCACCGGACGCUCUCAUUCUCUCGCCGUCGGGAUUUGGAAAGGGGAAAGGGGAAAAUAGGAGAGAGCUAGGGAUUUGGACAGGGAUAAAAAGACAAGUGAAGCAGGGACCGCGGGCGUGAUUUCUAGAAACGUUGAGGGGUUUUCUGCAAAAGGCCCAGUCCGACCAGGUGUGCCACGUAGCAGCCAGCUGGGCGCCAAUUCGCCGUCUCUGAUUGGCUGUGGACUAAACCAUCACAUAGUUUGCAAGUUUGUGGAUGAGUUAAUCACCUUUUGCAAGUUUAUGGACUAAACCAUCACAUCCAAUGCAAGUUUGUGGGUCUCUAGUGCUCUUGCCUCUGGAAGUUGCCUCUUUUAGUUUAGUCGAGGCCUCUGAGCAAAUCGUCCAGCUUCUCCGAACUACAUGAAAAAGUGUGUAAUGAUUAAUUAUAUCUAAAGGUCUCUCUCUGGUACACUGAUGUCUACUACACACUUCUAUUCUUGUAGACAUUGUUGGGCCACUAAUACGUCCUAAACAUAUACUCCCUCCGUCUCAAAAUACUUGUCGAAGAAAUGAAUAAAAAUAGAUGUAUCUACAACUAAAAUACAUCUACAUACAUCCAUUUGUCCGACAAGUAUUUUCGGACGGAGGGAGUAUAUAAUUUUUGCUUGCUUGAUUCUAUAAUGAUAUCAAAUGGCAUAGUUUUGGCAUCAAUUUUCAUCAUUUUCAGGACUAAACUAUACAGUGCCAAGUGCUAGUUGUUAUUUUUUAGACUUUUCAGGAAAAACAAUUUUUUGGAGACAAAAAAAAUAAAAAAUAAAAUGUUAAAGAAAUUUCGGGACAGAAUAAUGGAGGGGUCUGGACCACCUAGGGAGGGCACUACGGGUGGCGAUUUUAGACUUCAACGGUCGGAUUUCUGUGUUUGUAUGAAUAGACCCCACACCCUUUAGUGGGAGGCGGUUUGAAGAGAUGUUUUUUUUAUAUUAGAACUAUACCUUUGAGAAUGCCUUUGCUGCUUGAAUCGCCUCUCUUUCUCUCUAAACCUGCCGAGAGAUAGAGANNNNNNNNNNNNNNNNNNNNNNNNNNNNNNNNNNNNNNNNNNNNNNNNNNNNNNNNNNNNNNNNNNNNNNNNNNNNNNNNNNNNNNNNNNNNNNNNNNNNNNNNNNNNNNNNNNNNNNNNNNNNNNNNNNNNNNNNNNNNNNNNNNNNNNNNNNNNNNNNNNNNNNNNNNNNNNNNNNNNNNNNNNNNNNNNNNNNNNNNNNNNNNNNNNNNNNNNNNNNNNNNNNNNNNNNNNNNNNNNNNNNNNNNNNNNNNNNNNNNNNNNNNNNNNNNNNNNNNNNNNNNNNNNNNNNNNNNNNNNNNNNNNNNNNNNNNNNNNNNNNNNNNNNNNNNNNNNNNNNNNNNNNNNNNNNNNNNNNNNNNNNNNNNNNNNNUGAAGACCUUGUUUGGGAGUUCAUCCAAAUGGCCUUCUUUUGCUUGUUUACUCUCGUAAGUUGCAUGCCUCUUAGAUGGUUAGUGUCAGGUGAGACACUUUAAGUGUGCGAAGAAAUCAAAAAGUUUGUACAAGGCUUGAAGAUUGCCUUUUUUGUGAAUAUCUACCCCGAGUGAGCCUUCUGGAGUGAUUGCCAUGGUGGAAUAGAUUAGUUAGAUCAUUUGUGGUCGAUGUUGAUGAAGUACAAAACCACCCCGCCACUAAUAAUCCAAACCUUGGCAAAAAUCCCCAUGUUUUUUUAUUGUGUUCCCCUAAUUCUUUACUUAUUAUUACAAGUUCUGCUUCUGUUUUUAGUUUCGUAGACAUGCUUAGGGUGUUGUAGACAACUACUGACAACUAGAUUAAAACUUUGCAACUAAAAUGGUUUUUUCUAUAUAAUUACCCAUUCACCCUUCUCUACACACCCCCUCUGAUCCUAAAGAUUCUUAAGAAAAUAGUAUUACCAUUUAAUAUACACUAAUUGGUUUUGUUUGACAAAAUACCGCAUGGAUCAUGUUGUAGAAGUAUAGCUCACUCACGGGAGAAAGAUGUGCACAAGUCGAUCUCACUUUAAAAAUCUACAUAAAAUUAGAGAGACGAAUUUUUUCACAAAAAAGACCCAGAUCCAUAUAAAGGUUCAUCAGAAUCACAAAGCACCUCAAACAUAAUAAAAUUUAAAUCGAUGUACCCUAGACCAUCGAGCGAUCACUAACGCCACUAGAACGAGCUGUGACGCCUCGUUGUCGGUGCUCCCAUACCGGAGAGGUGGAAACAACUUGUGUUAUUUUUUAAUUUUAUUAGAAGCGGUUUUGACGUGUUUAAUUAAAAGAGGAAAAUUGCUAUAUUAUAAAAAAAUGACCAAUUCUUCUUGAGCACGCAAAGAUAUUAUCAUAACCGACAGUUUCUUUCUUGGGAAAAAGGAGAAAUUAGCUUGUGAGAAAUAAAUACCCAGUACUGACUACAAAAAUUGAAACCCUCUACAUUUGACAUUAUAUUUCCCUUAUUUUACUGAAGACCAAACUACAUGAAUGAAGAAGCAAAAACGCCUUCCCUAAGAAAAAGGAAAGAUAAACGCCUUGGCAACGGCAAAGCAAUGCGUUUGUCUCCGACUUGGUAAAACCACAAAGCCUGAGCACGCAACAAAACAGAGGAAGCUUUGUUUUCAUCUACUCUACUCAAAAGCAUCCAGCUUUCCAGGAGAAAAGAAGGGAGCGAUUCCGUCUGUAUCCUCCGACUCGCCGAGCUCGUGACCCCGCCUCGCCGCCGGACCCUAGAAGAAGCGGCCAGGCGUUUCCGCGCCAACCGCCAAACGAGCUGCAGAGCUCGCACCUUCUCUUUCUUCCCUUGGUUUAAGUAGCCGUGGCGGCCUGCUCCGGCCGGUGCCGCUCAGAUCUACCGCGGCAGAGGGGGAAGCCCGGGGUUCAUGAUGGAGCACACCGCCGUCGGCGAGGAUCAGGCCAUGUCCGGUGAGUGGGCCGAUGCCGGCCUUGGGUUGUUAUCGCGUUGUUACUUUGAUCUCGCUCUGUUCCUGGAGACGGCUGUGGUUCUAGGGGGUCUUUGGGCUUUCGAACCUUAGAAAUUAGAAUCAUGUCAGGUCCUCUGUGUUCAUGGUUGGUUUUUUCCAGAUUCGUGUGGUUAUCGAAGGCGUUAUAUUUGUCUAACUUGUGCGAUAUGGUUGUGAAUGCGUGUCACUGAGGUUUUCCUGGAAAAUUGGAGCAUUUUGUUUUCUUUACGUACAAGUUAGUGGUCAUUUUCUAUUCUCGUUUGAGGCGAGUAUAAUGAUUCGCUGCUUCAUGAAUUAGAACACCGGUUGAGCUGUUUCUUGUAUAGCUUUGAUCUCCUUCACCUUUGUUUCUGUUGGAGGUAGAAUAACGAUCCUGUUCGUCUUAGUUGAUCGCCAUUUACGAUGGAGAUUUACCUUCCAAGUGUUAUUGAAUUACUACUAUUUACUCCACUUUUGGAAAGUUUACAGUUGAAGAAACUUGAUAUCUGAGUUGGAUUUCGUUUGGUGUUAGGGCAGAUGGCGUUUGCCAUAAGUACGUUUUACUCCAUAACUUUCCAGCGAUAUCUACCCGCAAAGAUUCGCUAGGGGUGAUUGUUCUAUUUUUUGCAUUUUUCUUUCAGUCUUAUGUCUCUUGUGAUGUGCUUUUGGGAUAUCCAAAUAUAAAUUCAGUUUUUCUGAUACGAGUUAUUCUGGAUACAAUAGAAAUGCUACUUAUUGCGGUCAAUCUAUGUUAGGGAAGGUAGUUGCAAAUUUUUAUUUUCAUGGACAGCACAAUGUUUGGAAUCCCGAUUGGUAAAAUUGUUAUAAAAGGCAAUAUUAGGGGUAUGCAUCGUCCAUUGGAUCCUUCAGUCUAUGCCACCUUCAUUGUAACAUCAGAUAAAUCAGAGUUCUCUGAAAGCUUGGUUAACUUAAAUGAGAUAAAAGUAAGACUACUCUGUGACUGUGUGCCGAUGAUGUAAUAGAUUUAACAUAUAUUUCAGACCUUCGCGAUAAGCAUCGCCUGGACCUGGAGAGUUUAACGCUGACAUCACAGCCAUUCAAAACACUCGCAUUAUUUGUGCUAGCCAUUGGACAGAGUAUAAGAAGCACAUGUUCAUGUGUUCUGAAAGAAGGUUCUCGGUUGAAGUUCCUGGUUCCGUUGCUUGGUGCUACCUGUGUGCUUCUCCUGGUAACUGAUGGCCCACAUGAGAAGGUAUCAUCAUCUUUCUGUUUUAGCACAUUUCUGUAUUUCAAAUUAGACAAAUCGAGUGGCGGUAUGCUGAAUUGAACUGCAAGUAUGCAAAUUAACAGCGCACUGCUUUCACAGUCUCUGGAUAUGCAUGAGAGAAAAUGUUGCUUUUUGAAUGGUGAAAUCACUGAAAUGUAUCUAUUUAUUCUGAAUGAGAAGGGGUAAGAUUUGCACUUUUUUAGGUUAAGGUAGAUGUGAGACUCAAACCUAGGCGGGUGGGAGCAUUUUUGUACCCUGUCUGUGGUGCGUGCGUUCUUGCAGCAUGGAUAAACCAUUAUAUUCUGUCUUCAAUGCAGCAUAUGCAGGAACUGCUUUGGUAUGCCAGAUUUGGAUUAUGGUGGGUCGUACUAGGGGUGGCUUCAUCCAUUGGAUUAGGUAAAACCCAAAAUUCAAUUUAUAUUUGUGUGAAACUGGUUAAUCUGUUGAAUAAAAUGUUAGCAUAGCAACUAAGUAUUUAUCAUUAAGAGUAUACAUGCAGUUCAAUACUCAGCACGUCAUUUAUUUUUACAGGCUCUGGCUUGCACACCUUUGUAUUGUAUUUAGGGCCUCAUAUCGCCCUUUUCACAAUGAAAGCGGUUCAGUGUGGCCGGGUUGAUUUAAAGAGUGCUCCUUAUGACACUAUUCUUCUUAAAAGGAGGCCUUCAUGGUUGGAGAAAGAAUGUCUGGAGUUUGGACCUCCAAUAUAUCAGGAAACAAUCCCAUUCAGCAAAAUAUUGCAUGAAGUUCAUCUUGAAGCUGUUCUUUGGGGCAUUGGAACUGCACUUGGAGAGCUUCCUCCAUAUUUUAUCUCUAGAGCAGGUUAUGUUUGUACUGCUUUGCUCUUGCCAACUCGAGCAUAAUUUACAUAGUUCUAUGUUUGCUCAUACCUUCUUAAGCAUAAGCAUAUCAUGCUAUACUUCAUUAUUCUUCAAAUUAUUAAUCCAGGGUGUCGUUGUGAAUCACCUAAAAUUAUGUAUAAAUGCCUCACCAGGUCUAAACUUACAUGAACACAUAACAUAGUUACUGUUAUGGCGUUGCUAGAAGGAGGGCACGAGAGGGCCGGCCGGGGGCCUUUUUGCCCAUGGCCGAGCAAGAGGGAAGGGAUUUCCUUCUUAAUUCUUGCUUGAUUAGAUUGAUACAUCUCCUCUCUUUAUAUAGAGAGGUUUACUUAACUCUCAAGCAAGGCUUACUUGACCCCUAAGUAAACGACCAUUAUCUCUAAUUAACUCUAAGACUAAUGGACCCAUUAGGCCCAUUACGUACUCUAACACUACACCCCACCUGGACAUGCAGCUUGUCCUCGAGCUGCAGCCUAACCAACUUAUAACCAUGACUCGACGCAACGCAAACCUAACACCUAAAAACAAGCCUUUUACAUCUCGGCUUGUUUUAUUAUUCUCAACCUGAAAUAGACUAGGACGCUUUAUUUUGGACGUGCACGUGUACAGCCACCUGGAUCCCAUGGACACCACCUGGACAAAAGGAGUGCAUGUGUAUGGCUGUUGGUCUGCACCGCACAGGGAAGAGUGGAGGGCUUGCGAUGGAGAAUGACGAGGAGGGGUGCGCCCCCCCAACCGCCGAUGUCGCAGACUUUGAGGUCGCUGCCCGCGGGGAAAACAGCAUGCCGGCCGCCCGUGGGGGAAACCACAUGCCCAAGAUCCCUGACGCAGCGGACGAGAUCGAGGUCCUUUGCACAGCGAAGGGCAACUUGGAGGAGCGGCAGCUGCAGACCACGCAUCUCCCGCACACGCCGACGCGCUAGGAGGCCGCGCGCAGCAGCCUGCAGCCUCACCGCCGCCGACACAUGGCGGGUAGCGAUCCAAGACGGAAGCGGUGACGGCGACGGCAGGGACUUGAUCUGCUGGAUGUGGACGCCCUGGGAUGGCGGCGGCGCUGAUGGGAACGAGGUCGUUGCACUCCCGUCGUAGGGCAUCCCAUACUGGGCGGCGGAGCUGACCGGCGGUGGCUGCUGCAGCUGCAGCGGCUGCUGCGCUGCCGCGCCGGGCGCGGCGGAGGCCGCCAGGAGCGGCGGCUGCCACUGCAGCCAGGGCUGGGCGGUGGUGGCGAUGGAUGGCAGCUGCAGUGGCCCGGCGAGUGCGGCGAAGGCCGCCUGGUGCGGCGGCGCGGGGGCGGCGAUGGGCGGCGCAACCGAGUGCGGCCCGUAGGACCCGACCAAGAACAGGUGGAUCUCCUGGACCGCCUGGGUUAGGUCCAGCAGCACCCCGGACACAUCCUCCCAGGUGAGGACGGUGGGGGCGGGUGCGACAGAGGAUCCCGGCGCGGGCAGGAGCGGGGUGACGGUCGUGGUGGUCGCCGGAGGCGACAAGGUGACCGGCAGCGGAAGAGACGGGCUUGGCGGUGGUGAAGACAUGAUCGAACCGAAGCUAGCUGAUACCAAAUUGUUAUGGCGCUGCUAGAAGGAGGGCACGAGAGGGCCGGCCGGGGGCCUUUUUGCCCAUGGCCGAGCAAGAGGGAAGGGAUUUCCUUCUUAAUUCUUGCUUGAUUAGAUUGAUACAUCUCCUCUCUUUAUAUAGAGAGGUUUACUUGACUCUCAAGCAAGGCUUACUUGACCCCUAAGCAAACGACCCUUAUCUCUAAUUAACUCUAAGACUAAUGGACCCAUUAGGCCCAUUACGUACUCUAACAGUUACUUUGAUGUGUAAUUGCGUGUCAGAAAGAACUGCACAAUCCUCUUAGCAAGAAGCUUCUUGAUCGCAUAUAUAGCAGACUUUGAUCAGUGAUGACCGUUGACUUUUUAUUUGAUUGUUGCUUAUUUCUGUACCAUCUUCCAGUAUAGCCUUCAGUCAGAAAUAUAAUUAUCCUGUAUGCAGAGCAGAGUAGUUAUAAAAUUCAGUUUCAUGGUCCUGUCCAGAUGUUAGAUCUUGAAUGCAUUUAACUUCCAUCCAGGCUCCCACUAAGCCUUUUGUGAUUCUUCCUUUGCUACUUUUAUUAUGGUUAUGUUUAAAUGACAAUCGUUUUUGUUCCCAUUUUUAAUGAAUAUGGCUAACCAUAUGAUAAGUUGGACUUAUCUGGCUUAUAAGUUUGACUAUCUUGACCACAAUAAGCGACCAUAUAAGAUUGGCAUAAGUUAAGGUUAAACAAUCCGUGAUCUCAGUGAUUUCUUUGGAAGAAUAAUUGAUGCUAUUAAUCCAUGUUUCUAACAUUUUAUUGUACAAACUUUAGCUUAAUUUAGACUAAAGUAGCUCUAAAUUUGUGUAAUUAAUUAGGAAAAAUUACUUAACGCAACUGAUUCAGGUUAAUACAAAUGAACUACAGCUAGCAUGUCAGGCCAAAAGGUAGAGGAGUUGGCAGAAUUGGAUGCUUCUAUCUCAAAAGAAGGUUUUCUAUCAUCAACUCUACGUCGGGCCAAGCGCUGGCUUAUGUCUCACUCACAAUAUCUUAGCUUCCCUACAAUACUGCUACUUGCUUCGGUUAGUUUCUUUCUUGUGGACAUUUAUUUGCUUGUAUACAUGCUUGAUUAGGUCACCGUACUAGUUGCCUUGUAGCUCCUUAACAAUUUAAGCUAUUAGGUGAACUCCACUUAAAUUUCUUGAGAAGCUCAUUCUCUCCCCACUCAAAUUAUAGUUGCUAUAAAAAAUUGCAUAUGAAAUGUGACCAUGACUUUCCUUGUGACCAGUGGAGCUAUUGCAAAUGCAGAGAAGUUAUCUUUGGCAUAUUAUUGCUUCAUUGUUAACUAUGACAGUUAGAGACUAACUUUUCCCUUCGUUAGGUGCCAAACCCUCUGUUUGAUCUUGCUGGCAUUUUGUGUGGCCAAUUUAAUGUCCCCUUCUGGAAGUUCUUUCUGGCAACUUUAAUUGGGAAGGCCAUUAUCAAGGUUUAUAUGCAGGUUUGCUACUUUCUAGCUUGGUACAGUUCCUCCUAUGCACAGCAUUUAGUUUUAACUGCAACAUUUGCAUAUUCAUAUUUCAUUUCUUUAAUUAAUUUAAACUGAUGGACCUAACCGUGUUUUACAAAUUACUUAUGUAGACAACAUUGGUAAUUACUCUCUGCAACAACCAACUUCUUGAAUUGGUGGAGGAAAGGCUUGUAUGGGUGUUUAGCAAUUCCCCUGGAGUAUCAUCCAUCCUUCCCUCUUUAGUCACCAAGUUGAAGACAGCUAAGGAUAAGUUUUUAAUGGCAAGUGUUGCUACAUCAGCUUCUAGUGCUGCGAAGGUACCGGUUUUUGCUAAGCUUCGAAAUAGUUUUGAGCAUCUAAAAUUCUAAUGUUUAUGUUUUAUUUCUUUAUAAAUGAUCUCUAUCAUCUUUUGAUGUGCUUAUUUCUUAGGAAGUUUAAUUAAUUUAUUAAUAACUUAAACGAGUGUCUCUAUUUAUCAUGUAAUAGCAUGCUGCAAGUGAUAAUCGCGGGCUUACGGCCGAUAAUCUGGUUGAAAUGUUUUGUAUUCUCAUAUACUCCCUCCAAAAUAGAUGACUCAACUUUGUACUAACUUUAGUACAAAGUUAGUACAAAGUUGGGUCAUCUAUUUUGAAACGGAGGGAGUAUUUUCCAACUGACAAAUUAACCAAGUCCUCGGUGUUGUUUGCACAAUUGAUUAGUUGUAGAUAGACUGAUGGAGGCUGGUUAUGAUUGAUGACGAUUGUAACAUAACUUCAGCAGUAAUGGAGUGGAACGAUGAUUAUGAUGAAGUUUCCUUUUCUUGUUUCCUCUGCUGUUUUUGCUUAGCUUGAUGUUAUCAUCUGCUUUCCCAGAAAGUUGCCAUUUCCCCUAAAUAUGAAUUGUCCUCGUGCAGGGGAAGAAGUGGAAUCUGUCAUUCUCUUUGAUCUGGAACACCGUGGUGUGGCUCAUGAUCGUGAAUUUCAUCAUUCAGAUAAUCACUUCCACAGCACAGAGUUAUCUGAAGAAGCAACAAGAGCUUGAGAUCAGCAUGAAGUCAUCAGCUACACUAAGUUCCGCCUCUGAACCUGCUGCCAGAAUAUCAAAUUAAUCUAGCCAGGGCAUUUCAUCCGGACAGAUAUUCAAUCUAUAUUCAUGCCAUCACUUCCUGCAUGAGACUGAUUUGGGAAUUCUAAAUCUGGUCAUUUACUGGAUAGCUGGCUUUAUUCUCCAAGAAAUCACAUUGAUACAGUGUAUAUAACCCAUCCCAUCAGGCCAGCAUGACUGCAAAACUAAGAACCGCUGUCUGUAUUCCCGUGGAGCACUAGCUUACUGAUCACUUAGUAGAAAGUCGCAAAAAAGAGAGGAGAAAAAAAAAAGGAAGUUUGACUAGUGCGCAAGUGUAAUGUUGGCCUUGUACCCUCCGUAAAGAAAUAUAAGAGCGUUUAGAUCACUAAUGUAGUGAUCUAAACGCUCUUAUAUUUCUUUACAGAGGGAGUACAUAGCAACCAAGAUAUUGCCAUCAAUUGGCACAAUAAGCAUUAAGUUUGUGCCUACCAUCUUGAUGCUGUCGUUUUUGUCUCAGCAUUGGUGAUGAUCUGUCAAGAUCCGCCAUUUGUUCCUGAUGGCUACGCGUUGAGAAAAUUCAUGUUCCUGUCAAGUGUCAAUGCAGAUGCCAGAUGGCACGUCAGGACAAAAAAAAACUCCUAGUAUCUUUUUAUCAUUUUACUUUCUUUACUCUUUAGUGAGGUUGCAGUUUUGUUCUGCUUAUUUGGAGGCUUGAGCGAGCUUGGACUCUUCCAUCUUGAGAGGCAGAUUGAGCUGUGCGCUCAUGGGUUAAUCACAUCACAUGGCUUGCAGCGUGUGAGGUUUAUGUUUGUCUACAAUCGUCAUGUUGCUUAAUUAUGCUAUAUUGAGGUAGGGUCUUUUUUUUGUUAGUGAUUAAACACCUACUACUCCUGAAUCUUUAUUUGCAUUGUUCAGGGAGGAAGUGCGUCUGGUACAAAAGGUGACCCUUUUUUUUUUUUUUAAAGGUGAUCCUUUUAUCCUUUUAGACUGCAGGGCCAUCAAAAUUUGAAUUUUGAAACAUUCAACUGCUAAAGUACACCACCUUUACAUUUUGCAGCUGGGAGUGCAUACUAAUUUGCAAUAAGUAUAUAUAAAAUCAUUUAAAACUACAUUAUUCGAUACUAUAUUACUGUUAGGAGUAGAGCCAGUAGAUCGCCUUACCUGAGCCAGAGAUCCGGAAAGCUACUACUGGCGCGCAGUAACUGAUAAAUGCACAUGCACUGGCCGAACCUAUCCUACGCGCAUGCUAUUUUCCUACACUGCCCUACCACUGCCCCCCCCUAUGCUGGAAGCGGCUCCCCUGACGUACAUCACCUGCAGUUGUGGCACUGCCAUGUGGGCCUGUUUUUUAAUGAGCCCUACAGCAACGUAAAUCUACCACUACGAUCCUAUCAGCUUUCCAGCUAUAGGCGGCUAGGAGGCUACGGACUGCAAAGCCAACGGAAUAUGGUAGCACUGCUGCUAUUCUACUGCAAGCUGGUCAGGCAUCAUAUCAAAACAGUGGUGCUAGGAAAUGUAUUUUUUUUAGGCUUCUCUGUGGGGAUCCGAGCCCGAGUUUUUUGGGAACGGAAAAAUAGCAAUGUGAUCUCGGCGGCUAUGAGCAGGGAAAAGAAAAUGUUGCACAUCUCAAGAAAUGUUGGCGAGAAGUGCCCGUUGUGCGUUUCUUGGAUACUUUGUACUCCCUUUGUCCGAAAAUACUCAUCGGAGAAAUAUGUAAAAAUGGAUGUAUCUAAAACUAAAAUGCGUCUAGAUACAUUCGUUUUUACGACAAGUAUUUCCAGACGGAGGGAGUACCGUUGAAUGUUACUUUGUGCUACUUCCAUCAGAGAUGUUCAAGCUUGGGUAUGCAUGGUUCUCAUAUUACAAAUUCGCCGCUUGUCUUAUUAGCGCAUAAUCUGACAUACUUUUCACAGAAAAAUACAGGUGCGCUCAAGUUUUUCUUGAACUCCUGGGGCGCAAAAACUUCCGCUGUUAUCUACUAUCUUGCUCUCUAUAUAUUUUUUCCAUUGGUGCAUCAUUUCGGUGUGCAUAUUCUGUAAAUUUCAAUACUAGACAUGAGUUACAACAAAAGACUUUUGAUGGUAAUGCCACACCCUUCGUUAUUUUUCAGUCUCUGAAAUGCUGAUGUUCAGGGGGUAACAUGCCAAAGCAUAUUCAUUAUUACUACACAAUUUAUUUAUCUAUUAGCUUCAUAGACACCAACUUCUCUCUUGAACUACACUAUGUAUAUACUAGUUUUAUUGACUUUGUUAGGCACUUAUGACAAGCAAUUCUAGUCUUCCCCUACUUCCUGCCACGCCACUCCUCUUAAUUUUAUAUACCCUCCAUUAGAUCCCUUUCAAGCCACUAUAUUUAUAUAUCCAUGAGAAUACGUCUAGGAUCGGUAGUCAUUACCACGUACUUACUCGUAAAGUAAUCGCCAUGAUACCGAUAUAAUAACAGAUUGGUAACAUGAGCAUUUGUUUAGUGCUGAGGAUAAUCUUGUCAUACCAAAUGGUUGGAUUAAAUAUGUUUGCAUGUACUUAUAUGUGGAACUGGCCAUCAGCUGAUCAUAUAUUGCCAAUAUAAAAUGGUUCAGAUGUGUGCUCAGAGCUAUAUCUGUACGUACCACCAGUCAAACAAAGCAUCCCAGCCCAUGCACUUGCCAUAGAUAAAUAUACAAUUGGCCCUACCACAAGAUAUUGUAUCUAGUGGUGAACAUGAUGAUAUCUUGCGUCGAUCGUGCAAUUUAAAAUAUCAGUAUUUUUUAUGUGCCAGCGAGCCAGCUAGUGUGAUCAAGCCUCUAGAGGGAUGUGGCAGCAUUGGGUUGCUUGUCCAGGUCACAUUGGGCCUCAGGAAAUUUUCAACCUAGAGACAUGAUCCCAGACAUAUAAUAUGCCGGGUGGGGCCGAUAAAGUGGAAACAAAGAACACAAAAUAUAUUGGAGCCAUCGUACUACAUUGUUGCCUCCCCUGCCAUUAGUUUAGUCCCAAGUAUAGUGCAAACAAACUGGACAAGAAAGAAGCUUUCAAGCAUUUGGGCAUCUCUUUUGAUAGACCUCAUUAUCAUGUUUUCAGCCUUUCUGGCUUUAUACUAGUACCUCCCCCCUCACUAGCCCUAUAGGAUGUAGUAGUAGCACAUUUCGGAAUAAUGCAAGUUGCCAUAUUAUAAUAGGAACAAAUCAUCCAAAAUUAAUGGUUUUAUUUUUGACAAGAAAAGUAAUGAAUGUUUGAUGAAUGGCUAAUGUGGGCCAGAUAUCAGUAGAUUUGACAUCUAUAUAAAUUGUGGUGGGCCAAUAAGCCCAAACAGUUAGUAGAUCCUAGAAACCAACUCUCAUUCACUAGCUCUUUCUAUAUCAACAAAGCAAGUUCCACCAACUCAAAAAGAAAGUGAAACCCGAAAAAAAAAGCAAGUUCCUUUUGCUAAAUCGCCAAGUCUAGCUGGUUAAUUACUAAUACAAGACACAACAUUUGUCUGCACUUUGAAUUUGAGGUCCCCUGGGUAUCAUCAUCAUUACAACUAUUAGCCCUUCAUUUCAUUUUUAUACUAGUAACUAGUCUUCCUUUUGUAUGCCAUCUUACACGCUUUUACGGUAUGCAAGUUUAUAUAGUUAGAUGAGUAAAAUUCCACUCUCGUAUACAUUGCAUCUAUUGAUAAGAGAGUGAAUUUUAGUUUAUACCUUCAACUUUGAAAAUUUUGUGCGCCCAUUUAACAAAUUUUCAUCAAGAUUACCUCAUUUAGCGAAACUUUUGCAUGUUUUACCCCCUUUAAUUUUUUAGAGCAAUUUGCUAGGUGGGCUCUCGGCUAUAUAGUACACAAUUUCUCACAUCGCGGUUCUCCUCUUGGCGUUUUUUCGUGCUUGAAUCGGUCGAAUGACUAAGACAGAAACAAUUUGAUUCUCAUGGUUGUCAGUUGCGCAAAUGCACUGCUUCAUUUUGGUGGGUUCCUUCUUCAUGUCAAAGUUGUUGCUUGUUUAUUGCUUUGACCUCAUUUUCCUUCACCAUAUUUGCUUAAGGAUUUGCAUCGCACUAGACAUAAUUCUAUCGACGCUUUGCCUGCCAACAAAACCAUUGGAGGAGCUAUCCACAACUUAAAACAAAGAACAAUUUCUCGGGUAGACUAGGGAGAAUUCGAGAUGAUGGCAAGAUCAAUGGAGCUAUGUUGUAUGUACGGUAAUGAAUGUGCUCCAUGACAUUUCUCCUUCCUAGGAGUAGAAGGAGGCCAUCAACAAAGCCCCACCUCCCAUUCAACUUCUUCUUUUACCACAUGUUUUCGUGCGACUCUCCUCUUCCUCCUCUACAAAGCACCAGGGCCACCACCACCUUGAAACCAGCGUUCACGCCCACCACCGUUUCUUACGGUGCCACAUCGUCAUCGUCACCCUGUCGGCACCACCUCUGCCAAAAUCCUAAGCCAACCAUGUGCAUGUGAGGGAAACCAGUGGCACAAGAGUCAAGGGUGUUUGUGAGGGCUGACGCCGUCUAGGCAAGUCCGACUCAAACAUUUCAGCGCCAGGUGUACAUGACUGUCGCGACCUAGUUUGCAUAUCACUCUGACUAUUUUAAAUGGUGUAAAAGCUAGCAAAACAUUUGCUAAAUGGGGUAAUUGGGAUGAAAAACUAUUAAAUGGGCACAAUUUGCGUCAUAAAUGUCAACGUAGAGGGUAUAUAAUGAAGAAAAACAUGCCAUCUAGUGCAUUGAUUUGGUUAGAGAGUAGCUAACAAAAUUGCACAUCUUUAAUAAAAGAUUUAACAAAGUAAUAAAAAUUUAGAAAUCUGGGAUUAUAUUUGCUUUAGUUAGUUUGCAGUUAAAAUCUUAAAAACUAAUAUUUAGUCUUUUGAUAUUUUACCCAUGUAUGCUUCAAAUAUUGACUUCAAGUAUAAUGCACAGUGCACAUCAACCUAUGCAUGUGUAGUUUCACUCACUGUAAUUAGUGCUACAAUUUUAACUGGUGGAUAUUGAACAGAUCGGCUAAAAUUAGAUUUGACAUUUUCUUUACUUAUCUGAAAAAUGAAUGUAGCACUCCAAAAAAAUCAAAGUCUAAAUGACAGCUAUCCAAACUUCAUUUGUUCAUUCGCUUAGGAAAAUGAAAGUUGCAGAGUUUCGAAAAGAUCAAAUAACUUACGAUGAGUAUACAAACAAGUCAAAUGGGCAGCAAGUUGGACUAAACUAUGCACCUAGCUGGAGUCAAAUAAUAUAAAAUCGAUACGAACCGAUCUAUGCACCUAGGUCAACAUUAUCUAGGCCGCAACUACUUAGAGACGCAAAAUACAAGACGGAAAACUAAUGUUGUAGUAACCUUGCAAAAAAAAAAACUAAUGUAUUAGUAGCUUGUUGCAUAAAAUAUUUGUUUAUUAUUAUCCUUGUUAUAGCAAGGUUGUUCUUGAUUAGCCUCGUGUGGAUAGCAAUUCGGGGGUCACUUUGAUUCAAACGAUUUUCAUAGAAAUUUAGAGGAUUAGUCCUUGGAAAUUUUUCGUGCGUCAAUUGAAUGAUUGUAUAAGAUUAUUUUUUCUAAGGAUUGUUUUGCAAUUUAUUUCAAAAGAGUUACCCAUUUCAACAAAAGAAUCUUUUGUUUUUCAUGUGGUGCAAUCAAACGAACUUUGGCACAAAGUCAGACAUGUAGGAUUAUGAGUGCACAUCACAUUGUGAUACUACUUUUUUUCAAAUCCUAAAGAUCAAAGAUGGUGUAGUAGUAAACUAAAUAUAUAGUCUGUUUUGGUACCUACUUAUUUAACCUACAAAAUUUCAAGAAUAACUGAGAAGAAAUUAACUCAAACCUCUACUUUUCAAUAAAGGUCUUUUCGAAACGGCAGAUCUUCCAAGCAGAGUUUCGUCCAACUAUCAACACUUUAAGUGGUCAGCAGAUAGCUGGUCAGUGUUAAUAAUCAUUUCUUGAACAAUCGCUCUUAUAUUUGUGUUAAGUUAAUAGGUAGGAAUCUGCUUUUUUUCUUCUCGAGUAUGCAGAUAAAAGGAUCGAAAUCAGCGGUUAGCUAGUGGAAUUGGUAAACCAUAUUCUAUGGGGGAAUCAUUGUACCAUUAGCUAGGUACGAACAGUACCAUAAAAGAAAUCUAAGGUAUGAAAACUACUAAAAAAAAGCUACUCCGGUACGAACAAGAGACAUGGCAAGCAAUAGUAGAAUAUGAUUAUGAUAGAGACGCAGCCGCGAACGGGACCUUUUACUGGUUUAGGCUUUAUAUAUACGCACGUACACUCACCCAUACGAAUGCAUAGAUGUAUAAUCUAUCCUUAUCAACAUCUUCGACAAGCACCGGGAGUUGAACUCUGAUAGGUUGGGGAUACCGCUGUCCUCCUAACUAUCCAAGCACAGGUUGGUUCGCUACUCCUUUAGGCUUUAGCGUUAUUCUAAUUGUGCAAAAAAAAAUUGCGAGAAUUUCUAAUAGUGUAAAUUACUUACAGUAGUUCAACAUACUUUUUUUGUCUUCAUCGAUGCAAUUAUUAAUUAAUCACCACUAUGAUAGACAUUACUUUUAUCUUAGUGGCCACCAUCUGGGUUUAUAGCGUGUUCGACCGAGGCCUUCAAAUCGUCCUCAUAUAUUAGAGCGGACGACCCAGACACUUCUCAGGAAAGAGAGAGAGAUAAAGAAAGCAUCCAUAACGCUACAAUGGUACUAGUAGAUCCAUCAUGAAAUAAAUAUUGAUACUUUCUUCUAUCCGUUCUAGAUACAUCUUUUUCAGCGACAACUAAUAUGGAUUGGAGGAAAUACUAUAUUUAUUUGAUAUUGCAUACCAUUAAUAUUAGUGUAAUCUUCGGAUAGGAUCUUCCCACCGUAUACAACACUGAUUUAUCAUUGAUGUAAUACGAUGUUUAUUUUUGGCUGCGUUAGAUUUGUUGGCUGUGUGCAUCUCUACCAUGUAGAGACCGGGCAUCCUUUGAAUGCGGCUGUAUCACCUCGAUAUAUCAAUUCAAUGAAAUGUUCUUUAUCGGAAAAAAUCAAUAUUAGUAGGACAUCACUGGAUGGUGGCCAGUCUCGUCUAGAAUGGCACCUAGCCUCUGGAGAAUGAAAAAGGAAAGGGGGAAUAGCGGAGCGAUCAAAGACAAUCACAAUGAAAAGGGCAAGCAAGCAAGCUAGCCAGUGACUGAUUUAAGAAGGGACAAAGUGCAGGGCGCACAAAUACAAAGCCAUCAUCAUCUUUGGUCAUUGCUUGGGCGAGGCGGUGCAUGUGGUCAAAUAAUCAAGAGACUGUCUAUAGACUAAUGCGUGGCUUGGCUUGCCAUUGCCAAUCCUGUGUCGUGAGAGGGUGGAAAGGUCAUCUGCCUACCCAAAUGAUAUGUUAUCUAUCAGGGUUAGAGUGUUGGACCAACCGAUGAAUGCGAUUGUGAAUGGACUGCAAUAUGUUACUAGACAAGUUUCCCUUUUCUGUUGCGACGUGGACUGGUAUAUAUCCUUGUCAUGUGAGCUGGACAUGUGGCUAGAGUGUGGACCAGCAAAUUUUCCACAUCCUACUCAUGUGGAUGACAAUGUAAAAUAUCAAUAUUUGUAGUAGCAUUAUUGAUGUCAUUUUUUUACAUCCAUGCAUAUAUGCAUAUCGGUAUAAUUUAACAAAUACAGUAUAUUUUCCCAUGCUUCCUCCACACACUCUUCCUCAAAGUAAUAAAUGAUCCCAAUGGAUGCAACUUUGACAAUACAGGUGAUGGUGAUUUGACAAAAAGUUUAUAUGGAUAGUGAUAUUACUAAAUUUGAAAUUACUUAUAUUGUUUCCCGUGAGCGAAAUGAAAUACUCCAGGCAGUAUGUGCAUUCUGGAAAGCUGCGACGUUUUUUAUACCGUUCGACAGCUUAGGCCCUUCUCAGUGCUCCACGGUGUACAAGUGCUAAGGAUGCCACAUAGGCAGAAAAAUGAUGUGGCAAAGCAAUUAAAAAGAAGAGAGAGGAUUAUGGUGACCCCAACAAAAACCAAUGCUAAGCACGUGAACCUAGACAAAAAGACUACCAACCAAUACAUGAAGGAGUUUUAUUACUAAACAAUUAAAUAGAGAAGGCUUAGCUACAAAAUCUAAGCACCGAUGCAUUGGGGACAUUAGUUGCUAAGCAUUUUAAUGCACUUAGCACCCCACUUUAGCACCAAUGCAUUGAGAGAGGUCUUAUUAACAGUAUUUUUCAGAGGGCUAGUGACUAGCUCCUACAACUAGUCACCAUCAUCAUGCAUAUGCAUGCAAUUCUACCAAGAUAGAAAAUUCAUGCUUAGGUACUCGGUCCAACAUUAGAUUAACGGGCUCUUAGAUUAAUCGAUUGAGAAGGCCCAAGCACCUUUGGUGGCGUUCAAAGAUCAUCACUAGAGAAAGUCCAGCGGGGGUGUGGUGUGGUGCGCCCACACGAUCCGCAAGCCUUUAAAUACUCCGCCACAGAGUAUACAAUUGACCUGGCUGUGCGAGCCCAUCGACCCAUUUAAGUACGCGCACAGUGCAGAGAUCGUUUUUUAUAUGGAAAAAUCGGUGGAAGCUGAUGGCAACAGGAACGGCAUUAUAAAACCCACGCGGUGGCGAGUGCAAAGGCGCGCGCGCGCCCCUCUCGAUCUGUCUCGCUCUCCAUGGAGCCCAGCCAGCUCCUCCGCUACUCGCCGCCCGGCUGGCCGUCUCGUCCCCCGGAUUGGAAGGCUGCUGCCGGUGUGAAACAAAUCGGCGACACGCGAGAUUUCACCGACGGUGGCCGCGGGAGGAGGCGGGGUGCCUUGGUGCUCGCUGUUGGAGUGUGAGGUACGUUGGUGUCGCUCGCCUCGCGGUUCGUUCAGUGCUUGGCCUUGGGACUCCGCGAUUGCCCUAGCGUCAUGCCUGAGCUCAGGCGAGAGCUUCCCGCGGGUCAACGGGGAGAGGGAGGGAGCCAGCGUGCCAGGGCCUAAGCCGGAGCGCGACGGAAUGCAAUGCGGCGACCGUCUGGAUUUCCCCCUAUCUCUCUCUCUCUUUCUGUUGGUGCUGGGCAAGUACUACUACUGCUCCUUCCCUGCUUCGAUAUUUUGCUGCUGCUGGCAGGGCAGGGCAGGGUACCCAAUGAUGACGUGAGGACUUCGAUGAGAUGUGAAUCGGCGCGGCGUCGGGCCGGCAUGGCGCGGGAUUGGUCGUCGCAGAGUUCGAGCCAGGGCGCGCCGUUCGAGAUCGACCGUGACGCAGGGGUCUGUAUAUGCUAUGCUUGGACAGAGCCUGCGUGGUGUGGUUCCGUCCAUGUCAUUCAUGCUCGGAAUCGUUCAACAAGGACGGAAACACAUCAUGCUUAUCUAUCCGGAGCGUGCCGGCCGUACCACAUUGCUUGCUUGCUUGCUUGCGCGCGUCUCAUUUCUAUGCCGACUGUUUGGCUUUCCAGGCUGCUUGCUGCAUUGUGAAGUUUUGGAUCUUGACCUGUUGCUAUUAAAGAACUCUUCCAGGUUGAUGUUGUUUUCUAUUUUAAUUAUUCUCAAGUAGAUAGGCAUGCUGGGCCCGGGAGUAUUAUCUACGCAUUAUUGGUACGAAAAGCACGGUGACUAUGACAUUGACACAUACAUAUAGUACGUGCCUCAUCAAAGACUCAAAAGUGUUUUUCCACCGUGAAGUGACAAGCGACCUGCCAUGCCAACCUCGGCAAAAGUGAGAUCGACGCGCCAUGCUUACCUAAGAACAACGCCACAGUCGUGUACCGGUGUACGGUGUACCAUUCUCCAUACAAGUGGAUUUACAUAGAGAGAGCGGGGUACGUACGUCUCUCAGUCUGCAAAAACAAAAAACAAAAAAAAAC